rnacentral:rRNA from 1 species
GAUGAACGCUGGCGGCGUGCCUAAUACAUGCAAGUCGAGCGAACAGAUAAGGAGCUUGCUCCUUUGACGUUAGCGGCGGACGGGUGAGUAACACGUGGGUAACCUACCUAUAAGACUGGAAUAACUCCGGGAAACCGGGGCUAAUGCCGGAUAACAUUUAGAACCGCAUGGUACUAAAGUGAAAGAUGGUUUUGCUAUCACUUAUAGAUGGACCCGCGCCGUAUUAGCUAGUUGGUAAGGUAACGGCUUACCAAGGCAACGAUACGUAGCCGACCUGAGAGGGUGAUCGGCCACACUGGAACUGAGACACGGUCCAGACUCCUACGGGAGGCAGCAGUAGGGAAUCUUCCGCAAUGGGCGAAAGCCUGACGGAGCAACGCCGCGUGAGUGAUGAAGGUCUUCGGAUCGUAAAACUCUGUUAUUAGGGAAGAACAAAUGUGUAAGUAACUGUGCACGUCUUGACGGUACCUAAUCAGAAAGCCACGGCUAACUACGUG